rnacentral:rRNA from 1 species
UUGCCUCAGUAAGCGGCGAGUGAAGCGGCAAGAGCUCAGAUUUGAAAUCGUGCUUUGCGGCACGAGUUGUAGAUUGCAGGUUGGAGUCUGUGUGGAAGGCGGUGUCCAAGUCCCUUGGAACAGGGCGCCCAGGAGGGUGAGAGCCCCGUGGGAUGCCGGCGGAAGCAGUGAGGCCCUUCUGACGAGUCGAGUUGUUUGGGAAUA